GGAUGUGAGGGCGAUCUGGCUGCAACAUCUGUCACCCCACUGAUUGCCAGGGUUGAUCUGGCUGAUCUGACUGGCUAGGCAGUUGUCUCUUCCUCCCUCACCACUCCAUGUGCGUUCUUCCCUAAGCUGUGUGCUUGCUUGAAGAGGAUGGCCUUCCCAGAAUAGAGACGGAUGGGUCUUCUGUCAAAGGUAUACGAGUAGCUGCACUCCCCUGGUAGAACCUCCAAACAAGCUCUCAAGAAAGUCAUCUUUCAGUACGUAUCUGCACAAAGCACUUCUGCUAAUGUAGGGAUGAAUCUGUUACUUAUUAGUACUACCACACAGUGAUAAAUUUAUAUCCAUUAUCU
ensembl:misc_RNA 7SK 7SK RNA